GCCUGAGGCGACAAAAAGACCGUCUGGCUUUGGCCGGGGGGGGGGGGGGGGGGCGCGCUACCAGCCCCCCACUCUCAACCGGCCUUUCAGACUCCGCCCUCCAGCCGCUCCUCACAACCAAUCAGCUUCCGCCUCUCUGCGACUUGGGAACCCGCGCGCUUCGUCGCCCGUGCGCAGCGGCCCCUGGUGAGCAAAUCUAGGUAGUGUAGGCAGGACAAGCUCCUGGGAGGCCCUGCCCCUUUGCAGAGGGUUAGAGAGUGAAGGGAGGACCCACCCUGAGGGAGGCCCAUUAGGGCCAGUGAGCAUUUACUUUCAGAGGAAAUUAUGACGAAAGCAAAAUGAAAUAUCCAGACCCUGUAUGUAAAAUCCCCCUACACAUAUAUUGAGUCUGAGCUAAAAGCGUUCUGAACACACCCUAACUAACCCUCCAAGUUAAGUUGGAUGCCCUCGCUUAGCUCUCAUAACCCGUUUUCCUACCUGCCUCUCAAACCCCCCACCCCUUGAGGUUUUUGCGGGUAUGGCCUGUGGCUGGUUCCUCCCUGCAUCUCGCUCUCCCAGCUCUCAAAGUCAGUUGAAAGAAGUGGCAGCGACUUGAGAACCAGUGCCCCAAAGAGAGCCUCAUCUGGGCCUCCUUCAACAAAGCCUGCACUUCCUGUUCUUUUCUCAAGCACACUGUCAGCAGAUCUUUACUGAAAUCUCCUCUGUGCCCUACCCUGUCCUUGGCACCCAAGGCAGAGAAGGGUUUAAGCCCAGUCUCUUCUCUGACUGACAGUGCUAAACCAUUCCUGUUUUGAGCAAGCUCUUUGAAGACCAGGACACGGAUUUGCCCAACAGCUGCCUGGCUUAAGAGUUAGGCUGUUGAUAUAAAAAUACAUGUCUAAUGUCAUCUAUUACUAUGCUCCCCACUCUCUUAAGCUCCCAUCACACUGAGUUGUUUUGUUGUUGUUUCUGUUUGUUUGUUUGUUUGUUUGUUUCAGUGCUGGGGAUCAAAUGGUCUUGAGCAUGCUAGGCAAGCACUGUACCACUGAACUACAUACCCCCAGCCCAUGUCCUUCUUUAAGUUUCCCAAACAAAGCCACCUCACAGCAUGCAUAUCUGCUGUAGCUUCUGCAGGGGAGGCUUUUCAUAUAACUAGGUGGCCUCCCAUUCUUCCAGACAUAGUUCUAUGUCUGAAAGCUUAAAACUCCUACCCUAACCACCCC
rnacentral:lncRNA from 1 species